AGCAGCCGCCGCGGGAAUACGUAGGUGGCAAGCGUUGUCCGGAAUUAUUGGGCGUAAAGGGCUCGCAGGCGGUUUCUUAAGUCUGAUGUGAAAGCCCCCGGCUCAACCGGGGAGGGUCAUUGGAAACUGGGAAACUUGAGUGCAGAAGAGGAGAGUGGAAUUCCACGUGUAGCGGUGAAAUGCGUAGAGAUGUGGAGGAACACCAGUGGCGAAGACGACUCUCUGGUCUGUAACUGACGCUGAGGAGCGAAAGCGUGGGGAGCGAACAGGAUUAGAUACCCCUGUAGUCCCUGUCUCUUAUAC
rnacentral:rRNA from 1 species